rnacentral:rRNA from 1 species
GACGAACGCUGGCGGCGUGCUUAACACAUGCAAGUCGAACGGAAAGGCCCUGCUUUUGUGGGGUGCUCGAGUGGCGAACGGGUGAGUAACACGUGAGUAACCUGCCCUUGACUUUGGGAUAACUUCAGGAAACUGGGGCUAAUACCGGAUAGGAGCUCCUGCUGCAUGGUGGGGGUUGGAAAGUUUCGGCGGUUGGGGAUGGACUCGCGGCUUAUCAGCUUGUUGGUGGGGUAGUGGAUUACCAAGGCUUUGACGGGUAGCCGGCCUGAGAGGGUGACCGGCCACAUUGGGACUGAGGUACGACCAGGACUCCUACGGGGGGCAGCGGUGGGGAAUAUUGCACGAUGGGCGGAAGCCGGAUGCAGGGACGCCGCGUGCGGGAUGACGGCCGUCGGGUUGUAAACCGCUUUCGCCUGUGACGAAGCGUGAGUGACGGUAAUGGGUAAAGAAGCACCGGCUAACUACGUG